rnacentral:rRNA from 1 species
AUUGAACGCUGGCGGCAGGCCUAACACAUGCAAGUCGAGCGGAUGAAGGGAGCUUGCUCCUGGAUUCAGCGGCGGACGGGUGAGUAAUGCCUAGGAAUCUGCCUGGUAGUGGGGGAUAACGUCCGGAAACGGGCGCUAAUACCGCAUACGUCCUGAGGGAGAAAGUGGGGGAUCUUCGGACCUCACGCUAUCAGAUGAGCCUAGGUCGGAUUAGCUAGUUGGUGGGGUAAAGGCCUACCAAGGCGACGAUCCGUAACUGGUCUGAGAGGAUGAUCAGUCACACUGGAACUGAGACACGGUCCUGACUCCUACGGGAGGCAGCAGUGGGGAAUAUUGGACAAUGGGCGAAAGCCUGAUCCAGCCAUGCCGCGUGUGUGAAGAAGGUCUUCGGAUUGUAAAGCACUUUAAGUUGGGAGGAAGGGCAGUAAGUUAAUACCUUGCUGUUUUGACGUUACCAACAGAAUAAGCACCGGCUAAAUUCGUG